rnacentral:rRNA from 1 species
GACGAACCGUGCGAACGUUAUUCGGAAUCACUGGGCUUAAAGCGCGUGUAGGCGGGACGGCACGUCGGUCGCUGAAAGCCCCCGGCUCAACCGGGGAACGGGCGCCGAUACGACCGCCCUGGAGGGACGUAGGGGGACCUGGAACUUCCGGUGGAGCGGUGAAAUGCGUAGAGAUCGGAAAGAACACCAACGGCGAAAGCACUCUGCUGGGCCGACACUGACACUGAGAGACGAAAGCUAGGGGAGCGAAUGGG